CGAAAUUAAAAAUCUGUAGGGAAUUGGGCCGCUGUAUUGCGAACCAAUUCUCCUCAGACUCACACCCUUGUGAACGUUUCACGUCUUUUGGUGACCCCGCACUUUCUUUGAUCUGGCUGUGAAAAUGGCCAGUAUUGUAGUUACGUGUGCAGCGGAAUGAAGACUUUGGUCUUGUUUCUCUAUGGGUUGCCAGCCUUGACAAAACACCUUUAUUUUAUCUCUACUGAAACCAAAAUGAGAAACAAUGAGAAA
rnacentral:misc_RNA from 1 species